rnacentral:rRNA from 1 species
GCUACUGGACCUAGCGGCGGACGGGUGAGUAAUGCUUAGGAAUCUGCCUAUUAGUGGGGGACAACAUCUCGAAAGGGAUGCUAAUACCGCAUACGUCCUACGGGAGAAAGCAGGGGAUCUUCGGACCUUGCGCUAAUAGAUGAGCCUAAGUCGGAUUAGCUAGUUGGUGGGGUAAAGGCCUACCAAGGCGACGAUCUGUAGCGGGUCUGAGAGGAUGAUCCGCCACACUGGGACUGAGACACGGCCCAGACUCCUACGGGAGGCAGCAGUGGGGAAUAUUGGACAAUGGGGGGAACCCUGAUCCAGCCAUGCCGCGUGUGUGAAGAAGGCCUUAUGGUUGUAAAGCACUUUAAGCGAGGAGGAGGCUACUUUAGUUAAUACCUAGAGAUAGUGGACGUUACUCGCAGAAUAAGCACCGGCUAACUCUGUGCCAGCAGCCGCGGUAAUACAGAGGGUGCGAGCGUUAAUCGGAUUUACUGGGCGUAAAGCGUGCGUAGGCGGCUUAUUAAGUCGGAUGUGAAAUCCCCGAGCUUAACUUGGGAAUUGCAUUCGAUACUGGUGAGCUAGAGUAUGGGAGAGGAUGGUAGAAUUCCAGGUGUAGCGGUGAAAUGCGUAGAGAUCUGGAGGAAUACCGAUGGCGAAGGCAGCCAUCUGGCCUAAUACUGACGCUGAGGUACGAAAGCAUGGGGAGCAAACAGGAUU